UCCGUAGGUGAACCUGCGGAGGGAUCAUUACAAGAACGCCCGGGCUUCGGCCUGGUUAUUCAUAACCCUUUGUUGUCCGACUCUGUUGCCUCCGGGGCGACCCUGCCUUCGGGCGGGGGCUCCGGGUGGACACUUCAAACUCUUGCGUAACUUUGCAGUCUGAGUAAACUUAAUUAAUAAAUUAAAACUUUUAACAACGGAUCUCUUGGUUCUGGCAUCGAUGAAGAACGCAGCGAAAUGCGAUAAGUAAUGUGAAUUGCAGAAUUCAGUGAAUCAUCGAAUCUUUGAACGCACAUUGCGCCCCCUGGUAUUCCGGGGGGCAUGCCUGUUCGAGCGUCAUUUCACCACUCAAGCCUCGCUUGGUAUUGGGCAACGCGGUCCGCCGCGUGCCUCAAAUCGUCCGGCUGGGUCUUCUGUCCCCUAAGCGUUGUGGAAACUAUUCGCUAAAGGGUGUUCGGGAGGCUACUCAAAGAACAACCCCAUUUCUAAGGUUGACCUCGGAUCACCUUUGUAGGAGCGCUGAACUUAAGCAUAUCAAUAAGCGGAGGA
rnacentral:rRNA from 1 species